UCUCCGUUGGUGAACCAGCGGAGGGAUCAUUAAAGAGUUUGUUACAACUCCUAAACCCAUGUGGACUUACCUUCUGUUGCCUCGGCAGGCAGGUCGCAUCUUGCUACCCUGUAGGACCCUAUCCUAUAGUACCUUACAGGGGAAGGUACUACCCGGAGAGACCUACCCGGUAGAGAGAUGCGGUGCCACCUGCCGGUGGACUGAAAAACAAAUUCUGUUUAGUAAAUGGUAUUCUGAAUCAUUAUAUGGAAAUUAAGUUAAAACUUUCAACAACGGACCUCUUGGUUCUG
rnacentral:misc_RNA from 1 species